ACUCCACAGUGUUUCUUUCAAACAUUUGAAUUGAAAAAAUGUCAGUUUAUUUCUUUUUGAAUUCUUCAGACGUUUUCCUUUGGAUAAAAACAUGCUUUCCCAUCUGGACCUGAAGCAGAAAUGAAGCUUAGUCCUAUUUUCCUUUAAAGCAGCAGCUCCAGAUUCAGCCAAAUUCUUUGUUCUCCUAGCUUCUCCUGCUGGUCCUGCUGUGCUUCAGCGUCCAGCAGGACUAGGAGGUUCCAGCACAGCGGGUGAGGAAGAGGCUGCAGGAGGGAACGCUGAAGGUGAAAGCUGUUCAGUUCUUUGGUUAAAUCAACGUUAUUCCAUCAACACAUUUCCUGAAGAGAAGACCAGACGCUCAGGAAUUCUCCCUCCUGGUCGGCUCCUCCUCAUGUCUCUGAUGGAGAGCGUGACGCCGCGGUGGAGAAGGAUCCAGACGUCUGCAGGACGGAGAUCAGGAGUUGAUAAACGUGGACUGAUGUCAGCAA